CCUACGGGCGACAGCAGUGAGGAAUAUUGGUCAAUGGGCGUAAGCCUGAACCAGCCAAGUCGCGUGAGGGAUGAAGGUUCUAUGGAUCGUAAACCUCUUUUAUAAGGGGAUAAAGUGUGGGACGUGUCCUAUUUUGUAUGUACCUUAUGAAUAAGGAUCGGCUAACUCCGUGCCAGCAGCCGCGGUAAUACGGAGGAUCCGAGCGUUAUCCGGAUUUAUUGGGUUUAAAGGGUGCGUAGGCGGGCUUUUAAGUCAGCGGUGAAAGUCUGUGGCUCAACCAUGGAAUUGCCGUUGAAACUGGAGGGCUUGAGUACGUAUGCGGCAGGCGGAAUGCGUGGUGUAGCGGUGAAAUGCUUAGAUAUCACGCAGAACACCGAUUGCGAAGGCAGCAUACCAAGGCAUGACUGACGCUGAUGCACGAAAGCGUGGGUAUCAAACAGGAUUAGAUACCCGUGUAGUC
rnacentral:rRNA from 1 species